GCAAGCCUGAGAAACGGCUAGCAGGACUAAGGUCUGCAGCAGGCGCGAAACUUACACAAUGCUCGCCACGAGCGAUGUAAUGAAGAACCAUAACGAUGUAUUGGUCUUUUUACAGACUAGUACAAUUGGAAUGAGACGACUUUAAACCAGUUAGUCGAGUAACAAAUGGAGGGCAAGUCUGGUGCCAGCAGCCGCGGUAAUUCCAGCUCCAUUAGCAUACAUUAAAGUUGUUGCGGUUAAAACGCUCGUAGUUGAAUUUCUGGCGGCUCCCCAUGGGUGUCGGCCGUUAAAGGGCCUACCGGUUGGCUAGCGCCUCCGGUUGUGCCUGGCCGCUUCACUUCACUAGGAAGCCGUUGUUUCGUCACUUAAUCGAGUGCGAAGCGGGGUGCGUCUACGGAUGCUGGCUGGCCUCGCGCCGCCAGCACCUAGUUGCAUCGCCUUUACCUUGAGAAAAUUAGAGUGCUCAAAGCAGGCAGUUGGGAGGUAAAACUCCCUUUAUGCUUGAAUAAUGUUGCAUGGAAUAAUAGAAUACGGCCUCGGUUCUAUUCUGUUGGUCUUAUAGAACAACAAACAAGUUGGUUGAGGCACUAAACAACCGCGGGCUCUGUUGUGGUCCGAGGCUCUUGGGUUUCGUCCAGCCUGUUGUCUAGAGCCUAAAAACUCUAGUACCUCCUGGCAAGCCCAAUCCUAGUUCCAUCCAAAGCAACUACCCGCCGGUUAGCCACCAUCCAACUGAGGCAAUGGUUAAAAGAAAUAGUCGCGGCGGCAUCAGUACUGCAUCGUGAGAG
rnacentral:rRNA from 1 species